rnacentral:rRNA from 1 species
UACGUAGGGGGCAAGCGUUGUCCGGAUUUACUGGGCGUAAAGGGCGCGUAGGCGGCCUCCUAAGUCAGACGUGAAAUCCCUCGGCUCAACCGGGGAACUGCGUCUGAUACUGGGAGGCUUGAAUCCGGGAGAGGGAUGUGGAAUUCCAGGUGUAGCGGUGAAAUGCGUAGAUAUCUGGAGGAACACCGGUGGCGAAGGCGGCAUCCUGGACCGGUAUUGACGCUGAUGCGCGAAAGCCAGGGGAGCAAACGGG